rnacentral:rRNA from 1 species
CAGUAGCCACGGUAAAACGAAGGGGGCUAGCGUUGUUCGGAAUUACUGGGCGUAAAGCGCGUGUAGGCGGGUCUCUAAGUCAGAGGUGAAAUGCCAAGGCUCAACCUUGGAACUGCCUUUGAUACUGGAGAUCUUGAGUCCGGGAGAGGUGAGUGGAACUGCGAGUGUAGAGGUGAAAUUCGUAGAUAUUCGCAAGAACACCAGUGGCGAAGGCGGCUCACUGGCCCGGAACUGACGCUGAGACGCGAAAGCGUGGGGAGCAAAUGGGAUUAGAUACCCCUGUAGUCCCUGUCUCUUAUAU